UCCUAAGGCUUACCCCUUACGAUUUUUUUGGGAAAUUUUGCAAAAAAAAUAAAAUUGUUUUAUUUUAAUGCCAAUGGGUUGCAAUGAGUUUCUUUUCACUCUAAUAAUGCUUGAAAUAAAAAAAAGAGUGAAAAAUAAUAAAAAAAACCAACAAAUUAAAAAAAAUGAAAAUUUUCCUCAUUUUUGCACCAAAUUUUGCCUAUAACUCGGUCGGUAUCCAACGGAUCGCCAAUCUUUAACCUGUGGUCGAUAGAUGGCACCAAUGGCUACAUUUUCUUCUUGGACGGCCAUGCCCUCAGAUGUCUGUGCCAGCAGUUAUUCGAGGAACCAAGUUCCUUACCCUGUUUGAUAAAAUGUAAAAUUUUCCUCAUUUAUGCUCCAACUUUUGCCUAUAACUCGGUCGGUAUCCAACGGAUCGCCAAUCUUUAACUUGUGGUCGAUAGAUGGUACCAAUGGCUACAUUUCCUUCUUGAACGGCCAUACCGUCAGAUGUCUGUGCCAGAAGUUAUUCGAGGAACCAAGUUCCUUACCCUGUUUGAGAAAAUGUAAAAUUUUCCUCAUUUUUGAGCAAUGUAGCAAAAAUUUUAAAUGUGAUAUAUUUUGAUGGGAAUUUGUUGCAAUAAGUUUCUUUUCACUUAAAUAGUGCUUUAAAUUAAAAAAGGAAUAAAAAAUCAGAAAAAAAUUUCAAAAAAAAUUUCCACUCGAAAAUUUCAUAAGGCUUACCCCUUACGAUUUUUUUGGGAAAUUUUGCAAAAAAAAUAAAAUUGUUUUAUUUUAAUCCCAGUUGGUUGCAAUGAGUUUCUUUUCACUCUAAUAAUGCUUGAAAUAAAAAAAGAGUGAAAAAUAAUAAAAAAAAUCAACAAAUUAAAAAAAAUGAAAAUUGUCCUCAUUUUUGCACCAACUUUUGCCUAUAACUCGGUCGGUAUCCAACGGAUCGCCAAUCUUUAACCUGUGGUCGAUAGAUGGCACCAAUGGCUACAUUUUCUUCUUGGACAGCCAUGCCCUCAGAUGUCUGUGCCAGAAGUUAUUCGAGGAACCAAGUUCCUUACCCUGUUCGAGAAAAUGUAAAAUUUUCCUCAUUUUUGCACCAACUUUUGCCUAUAACUCGGUCGGUAUCCAACGGAUCGCCAAUCUUUAACCUGUGGUCGAUAGAUGGCACCAAUGGCUACAUUUUCUUCUUGGACAGCCAUGCCCUCAGAUGUCUGUGCCAGAAGUUAUUCGAGGAACCAAGUUCCUUACCCUGUUUGAGAAAAUGUAAAAUUUUCCUCAUUUUUGCACCAACUUUUGCCUAUAACUCGGUCGGUAUCCAACGGAUCGCCAAUCUUUAACUUGUGGUCGAUAGAUGGCACCAAUGGCUACAUUUCCUUCUUGAACGGCCA